rnacentral:rRNA from 1 species
UACGUAGGGUGCGAGCGUUAAUCGGAAUUACUGGGCGUAAAGCGUGCGCAGGCGGUUUUGUAAGCCAGGUGUGAAAUCCCCGGGCUUAACCUGGGAACUGCGCUUGUGACUGCAAGACUCGAGUACGGCAGAGGGGGGUGGAAUUCCACGUGUAGCAGUGAAAUGCGUAGAGAUGUGGAGGAACACCGAUGGCGAAGGCAGCCCCCUGGGUCGAUACUGACGCUCAUGCACGAAAGCGUGGGGAGCAAACAGG